UACAGAGGGUGCAAGCGUUAAUCGGAAUUACUGGGCGUAAAGCGCGCGUAGGUGGCUGAUUAAGUCGGAUGUGAAAUCCCUGGGCUUAACCUAGGAACUGCAUUCGAUACUGAUCGGCUAGAGUAUGAGAGAGGGAGGUAGAAUUCCACGUGUAGCGGUGAAAUGCGUAGAUAUGUGGAGGAAUACCAGUGGCGAAGGCGGCCUCCUGGCUUAAUACUGACACUGAGGUGCGAAAGCGUGGGGAGCAAACAGG
rnacentral:rRNA from 1 species